rnacentral:rRNA from 1 species
GGGGAAUAUUGGACAAUGGGCGAAAGCCUGAUCCAGCAAUGCCGCGUGGAGGAUGAAGGUCUUCGGAUUGUAAACUCCUGUUGCCAGGGACGAAUGGCUCCGACCUAAUACGUCGGAGAAUGACGGUACCUGGUGAGGAAGCCCCGGCUAACUCUGUGCCAGCAGCCGCGGUAAUACAGAGGGGGCAAGCGUUGUUCGGAAUUACUGGGCGUAAAGGGCGCGUAGGCGGCCCGCUAAGUCGAACGUGAAAUCCCCAGGCUCAACCUGGGAACUGCGUCCGAUACUGGCAGGCUUGAAUCCGGGAGAGGGAUGUGGAAUUCCAGGUGUAGCGGUGAAAUGCGUAGAUAUCUGGAGGAACACCGGUGGCGAAGGCGGCAUCCUGGACCGGUAUUGACGCUGAGGCGCGAAAGCUAGGGGAGCAAA